AAAUUUAUGAGCCGCCACUGCUGCAAACAUAUACCUGAAAAUGAAAACAGAGAUUUUUUAUUAUGAAUCCAUAAAUAUUGACAAACGCACCAAACGAAAGAGGCUGAGCUUUCCAGUCCAAUCGCGAGUCCUUCGAAUAAUUCAUGCACGGAUAAACCCAGAACUAUUAAUAAUCCUCGUAGAGAACUUAUGACGAAGUCGUCUUUCUCGUCCAUUAUGACUGUGUGAAUGCCCAUUUUCGACUAAUUCGUUGGUGCUACGGUUGACAUCCUUCUUCGAGAAAUUGUCCUUGAUGGAUUGUUUCUUCCUCAAAUGCGUGUGCACCGAUUCUUCCACUAAAUACAUUAAGAAGAACCUAGAUAGCUUCACGAUAAGAAAGCGAUCUCGGAUCAGAUAAUCUUCACUUACCCAGCGCACGUAAGUGUUUCAGCUAAUGAAAAGCUGAGUUCAGG